GACGAACGCUGGCGGCGUGCCUAAUACAUGCAAGUCGAGCGAACUGAUUGGAAGCUUGCUUCUAUGACGUUAGCGGCGGACGGGUGAGUAACACGUGGGCAACCUGCCUGUAAGACUGGGAUAACUUCGGGAAACCGAAGCUAAUACCGGAUAGGAUCUUCUCCUUCAUGGGAGAUGAUUGAAAGAUGGUUUCGGCUAUCACUUACAGAUGGGCCCGCGGUGCAUUAGCUAGUUGGUGAGGUAACGGCUCACCAAGGCAACGAUGCAUAGCCGACCUGAGAGGGUGAUCGGCCACACUGGGACUGAGACACGGCCCAGACUCCUACGGGAGGCAGCAGUAGGGAAUCUUCCGCAAUGGACGAAAGUCUGACGGAGCAACGCCGCGUGAGUGAUGAAGGCUUUCGGGUCGUAAAACUCUGUUGUUAGGGAAGAACAAGUACGAGAGUAACUGCUCGUACCUUGACGGUACCUAACCAGAAAGCCACGGCUAACUACGUGCCAGCCGCCGCCGUAACAC
rnacentral:rRNA from 1 species